AGGCGUGUAGCUCAGGUGGUUAGAGCGCACCCCUGAUAAGGGUGAGGUCGGUGGUUCACGUCCACUCCGGCCUACCA
rnacentral:tRNA from 1 species